rnacentral:rRNA from 1 species
GUGUCAGCAGCCGCGGUAAUACGGGGGGAGCGAACGUUGUUCGGAAUCACUGGGCGUAAAGGGCGCGCAGGCGGCUCGGUUAGUGGAAUGUGAAAUGCCCUGGCUCAACCAGGGAACUGCAUUCCAUACUGCCGAGCUUGAGUAUAGGAGAGGAUGGGGGAAUUCCCGGUGUAGCGGUGGAAUGCAUUGAUAUCGGGAGGAACACCAGUGGCGAAGGCGCCCAUCUGGCCUAAUACUGACGCUCAAGCGCGAAAGCUAGGGGAGCAAACAGGAUUAGAAACCCGAGUAGUCC